GUUCUGGAGUAAACUGAUGGAGAACAUGCUGGAUUAGAGAAAUUCAAGAUAUCCAACUGCCUUAAAGAAAAUCAACACAAGCUCGUCUCUUUUCUGUUAUGGAAAACAGAAACUGCCUCUCUUAGCAGGAUCCUAAAGAAUUAUUCAGUUACUGCAAGGAAAUAUUGUGAAAACUCGCACAAAUAGCAGCUUAAAGUUACAUAUCUGACAACAUUAGACAGAAACAACUCCAGGGCUUCUCCACGAAUACAUCAGCAAGUGAAAAAAAGGCAGGGACAUCAAGCUUGCAAAACUUGAGAAAAUUUAUGAACCAUUGAGUGGAAGACAAUUUAUGGGAACAAAAUAUAGUUGUCAGCAAAGAUGAAGUGACAUUGCACUGAAGUUUCUUGAGCCUAGCCGCCGCCCCCCAAACAAAGAUUCCUACCCAAUAAUACGACCAGAAUAGUUCAUCAGUAUCCUCAGCUAGAGAUGCAAAUAUGUCAGCAUGCGCUCGCACAAAGUUUCAUUAGCAUCAUGAAUUUGCUGCUUCCUGUCCUGGGGGUGUUUCAUUUAUGGAAGAUGCAUGGCUUUUGUGACAAGAGUAAAGCUGGGAAGGCAUCUCUGCAUGCCUCGGCACCAAUCAAGGAUCAAUUCCACACUACACAUCAAAAA
rnacentral:misc_RNA from 1 species